rnacentral:rRNA from 1 species
GGUGGAGCAUGUGGUUUAAUUCGAAGAUACACGAAGAACCUUACCUGGCCUUGACAUGGUAGGAACCUUAAGAGAUUAGGGGUGCUAGCUUGCUAGAACCUACACACAGGUGCUGCACGGCUGUCGUCAGCUCGUGUCGUGAGAUGUUGGGUUAAGUCCCGCAACGAGCGCAACCCUCGUCCUUAGUUGCUAACAGUUCGGCUGAGCACUCUAGGGAGACUGCCUUCGCAAGGAGGAGGAAGGUGAGGACGACGUCAAGUCAUCAUGGCCCUUACGGCCAGGGCUACACACGUGCUACAAUGGGGCGUACAGAGAGCUGCGAUACCGCGAGGUGGAGCCAAUCUCUUAAAGCGUCUCUCAGUUCGGAUUGUUCUCUGCAACUCGAGAACAUGAAGCUGGAAUCACUAGUAAUCGCAGAUCAGCUAUGCUGCGGUGAAUACGUUCCCGGGUCUU